CCACACAUUUAAAGAGUGCGUAAUAGCUCACUGGUCGAGUGCUGAUGCGCCGAAGAUUAACGGGGCUAAAACCUGCCACCGAAGCUAUGGAUUUGCCGCAAGGCAAGUGGUAGAGGAGCAAUGUGUACAGGCAGAAGCCGUACCGUCAGGAGCGGUGGACAGUACACAAGAGAGAAUGCCGGUAUGAGUAGCGAGAGUGAGGUGAGAAUCCUCACCGUCGAAAGCCAAAGGUUUCCUGAGGAAGGUUCGUCCUCUCAGGGUAAGUCGGGGACUAAGCCGAGGGCGGUAGAGCCGUAGGCGAUGACCAGCAGGUAGAGAUUCCUGCACCACCAGUGUAUCGUUUGAGGAAGCAGUGACACAGAAGGAUAGUCAGAGCGCGUUGAUGGUAGAGCGCGUCCAAGCAGUGAGGCUGAUACGCAGUAAAGUACACGUAUCGAAAGGCUGGGCUGUGACGGGGAGUUAAAUGAUAUGAAGCUGAUGAAUUCACGCUGGCGAGAAAAGCUGCUAACGAGAUAUACGGUGCCCGUACCGCAAACCGACACAGGUAGGCGAGGAGAGAAUCCUAAGACGAGCGAGAGAACCAUUGUUAAGGAACUCGGCAAAAUUACCUCGUAACUUCGGGAGAAGGGGUGCCUAUAGAGAUAUAGGUCGCAGAGAAUAGGCCCAAGCGACUGUUUAACAAAAACACAGGUCUGUGCUAAAUCGAGAGAUGAAGUAUACGGGCUGACGCCUGCCCGGUGCUGGAAGGUUAAGGGAAUGAGUCAGGAGCAAUCCGAAGCUUUGAACUGAAGCCCCAGUAAACGGCGGCCGUAACUAUAACGGUCCUAAGGUAGCGAAAUUCCUUGUCGGGUAAGUUCCGACCUGCACGAAUGGCGUAACGAUUUGGGCGCUGUCUCAACAGUGGACUCGGCGAAAUUGUAGUAUGCGUGAAGAUGCGCAUUACCCGCGACUGGACGGAAAGACCCCGUAGAGCUUUACUGUAGCCUGAUAUUGGAUUUUGGUAAUGAAUGUACAGGAUAGGUGGGAGACUGAGAGACAAGGACGUCAGUUUUUGUGGAGUCGACGUUGGGAUACCACUCUUUCAUUACUGAAAUUCUAACCUGUAGCCGUAAACCGGUAUGGGGACAGUGUCAGGUGGGCAGUUUGACUGGGGCGGUCGCCUCCGAAAGAGUAACGGAGGCGCCCAAAGGUUCCCUCAGAAUGGUUGGGAAUCAUUCAAAGAGUGUAAAGGCAAAAGGGAGCUUGACUGCGAGACUGACAGGUCGAGCAGGUACGAAAGUAGGGCUUAGUGAUCCGGUGGUAGAGAGUGGAAUUGCCAUCGCUUAACGGAUAAAAGUUACCUCGGGGA
rnacentral:rRNA from 1 species